rnacentral:rRNA from 1 species
GAGUGAACGCUGGCGGUAGGCCUAACACAUGCAAGUCGAACGGCAGCACAGUAAGAGCUUGCUCUUACGGGUGGCGAGUGGCGGACGGGUGAGGAAUACGUCGGAAUCUACUUUUUCGUGGGGGAUAACGUAGGGAAACUUACGCUAAUACCGCAUACGACCUACGGGUGAAAGCAGGGGAUCUUCGGACCUUGCGCGAUUGAAUGAGCCGAUGUCGGAUUAGCUAGUUGGCGGGGUAAAGGCCCACCAAGGCGACGAUCCGUAGCUGGUCUGAGAGGAUGAUCAGCCACACUGGAACUGAGACACGGUCCAGACUCCUACGGGAGGCAGCAGUGGGGAAUAUUGGACAAUGGGCGCAAGCCUGAUCCAGCCAUACCGCGUGGGUGAAGAAGGCCUUCGGGUUGUAAAGCCCUUUUGUUGGGAAAGAAAAGCAGCAGGUUAAUACCCCGCUGUUCUGACGGUACCCAAAGAAUAAGCACCGGCUAACUUCGUG